rnacentral:rRNA from 1 species
GAGACAGCAGUCGCCGCGGGAAUACAGAGGGUGCGAGCGUUAAUCGGAUUUACUGGGCGUAAAGCGUGCGUAGGCGGCUUUUUAAGUCGGAUGUGAAAUCCCUGAGCUUAACUUAGGAAUUGCAUUCGAUACUGGGAAGCUAGAGUAUGGGAGAGGAUGGUAGAAUUCCAGGUGUAGCGGUGAAAUGCGUAGAGAUCUGGAGGAAUACCGAUGGCGAAGGCAGCCAUCUGGCCUAAUACUGACGCUGAGGUACGAAAGCAUGGGGAGCAAACAGGAUUAGAUACCCCGGUAGUCCCUGUCUCUUAUAC